UGACCUGCCAGUCACACUCCUUGUGAUGCAGCCCAGGAUAUAUGGCCGGCUUUCCGGGCUGCAAGCAUACACUGCUGGGCCAUGUUGAGCUUCUCAUCCAUAACCCAGGAUUUCUGUUCUUGUUCUUUCCUUUUUCUUCAACAUCCUUUGAACUGACUUUUUACUUUUAAUUUGUGGAGUGAAUUUUAAAAGACUUGACUUAAAUGUUCAAAAGGUAAGAAUACCCGGACUUUUGAAGGUUGCAUACAAGAACAGGAGUUUUUAAAGUUGUUUUUUAACUAUUUUUGGCCAAAACAGAGGACCCUAAAUGCAUAAAACAGUAGAGGAAAAAUGUUAAGACUUUGACAGUAUCAGUUUAGGCUCCGCAUUAAUCUUGGGCAAAGGCAUAAACUACCUAUAACUGAAUCUUACCAACCACUCCUAAUAUACACCACUCGCUAUAAAUAAGUAACAAUCUGCUCAGUUUCUGACAGAACACUCUACUGAGUCUGGAGAUCUCCUUCCAGUUCUGAUAGUGACAUUCUGUUUGACCUGAGGUAGGUUUACUUUCCUGCAGUUCUGAAUCCUUGUCUUCCUCAAUGAAAAUGAGUUGUGGCUGUCAUCUUCCUUCUUGGAUGUGUGGAGUGGGGAUUUCUCUGAUGAAAAGUACUAUGAGAUAAUUAAAUGUGGGUGUUGUUUUUUUUUUUUAAUAGGACAAUGAAUGAAACAAUUAACUACUCUUAGAAAACAAUAAGAAUUUGCUGGUGGUUUAGAAAGGCCUUCAAAACUGAAGAUAGCUACCAAGACACAAAAGUCCCUGGUCCACUCUGCUGGCUUUUAUAUGUGUCAUGAGAAACAGGAGAAAUACUACACAGCAAACUAAAAGUGUCCUAAAUAAAGUGAUGCAUAACGCCAACAGAAUCAUGCGCUUCUAUCAGUGAUCUGCAGAACAUGGGGAAGUGGCCUGCUGCGUGGGUGCUGCAAGGGAGGCAAAUUAAUGGGUGUCCGACAGUGCUGAUAAUCCUGACAGCAGACACUGAAGGAACUAAACUGGGAAAUGAUAUUCAGCCCUUGUGCUCAAAAGAGGUUCAUCCACAGUCUGUAUGCCACACUUCAUCCAUUCAUCUCAGUAGAUAUGACAAAGGAACUGGAAAUCCUUCAUAUUCAAGACGCAGCUGAGGAUCCAAGAAGGCAGCUUGCCAGCAAGUCAAAUAGGAAAGCUCAUCUGUCAAAAAAACUUGCUGAAGUCAUUCUGACAGAGAGCUCCCUUGGCCUGCACACCUGAUCUCAGGCAAGUCACGCAAACUUUCUAAACAGGUAUUGCUUAUCUUGAUCUGUAUAUGAUUCUGUAUAUGUUUUGUACCACUGUACAGCAUUAGAGAUACAUACAUGGUUAUUAAAGGCACACUAUCAGUAUAUGCUACCAUUGCCAUUUGCAACUUUAUUGCCUUACCAUU